GUGCUCACUUUGGCAGCACAUAUACUAAAAUUGGACCCAUACAGAGAAGAAUAGCGUGGCCCGCCUGUGCAAGGUGAACAUGCAGAUUUGUGAAGCGUUUCAUAUUUUA
ensembl:snRNA U6 U6 spliceosomal RNA